AUACGUAGGGGGCGAGCGUUGUCCGGAAUGAUUGGGCGUAAAGGGCGCGUAGGCGGCUUUGCAAGUCAGUAGUGGAAGUCCAUUUUUCAAGGAUGGAAGUGCUACAGAAACUGCGGAGCUUGAGUGCAGGAGAGGUUAUCGGAAUUCCCGGUGUAGCGGUGAAAUGCGUAGAGAUCGGGAGGAACACCAGUGGCGAAGGCGGGUAACUGGACUGCAACUGACGCUGAGGCGCGAAAGUGUGGGGAGCAAACAGGAUUAGAUACCCUGGUAGUCCACACUGUAAACGAUGAAUGCUAGGUGUAGGAGGUAUCGACCCCUUCUGUGCCGCAGUAAACACAGUAAGCAUUCCGCCUGGGGGGUACGGUCGCAAGAUUAAAACUCAAAGGAAUUGACGGGG
rnacentral:rRNA from 1 species